GGGCGGAUGGUGUAGUUGGUUAUCACGCUCGCUUAGCAUGUAAGAGCUUUGCUUACGUAAUCGCGUGCGAGAGGUGCUGGGUUCAAUUCCCAGUUCGUCCA